rnacentral:rRNA from 1 species
CCUACGGGAGGCAGCAGUGGGGAAUAUUGCACAAUGGGGGAAACCCUGAUGCAGCGACGCCGCGUGAGUGAAGAAGUCUCUAGGUAUGUAAAGCUCUAUCAGCAGGGAAGAAAAUGACGGUACCUGACUAAGAAGCCCCGGCUCACUACGUGCCAGCAGCCGCGGUGAUACGUAGGGGGCAAGCGUUAUCCGGAUUUACUGGGGGUAAAGGGAGCGUAUACGGCGCUGCAAGUCCGGAGUGAAAGCCCAUGGCUUAACCAUGGUACUGCUCUGGAAAAUGUGGAGCGUGAGUGCGGGAGGGGCAGGCGGAAUGCGUAGUGGAGCGGUGAAAUGCGUAGAUAUUAGGAAGAACACCGGCGGCGAAGGCGGCCUGCUGGACCGUAACUGACGUUGAGGCACGAAAGCGUGGGGAGCAAACAGGAUUAGAUACCCUAGUAGUC